AUCCCUAAUAUUUAGAGAGUAUUGAAGCUAGUGGUUUCAAAUACUUAAGUAAAAAUACGUUACAGUACAAUUUAAGUCGUUUUGGUGGGUAUCUGUACUUCACUAUUGAUAUUUUGACUACUUUUACUUUUACUUCACUACCUUACGUUUGAAUCGCACAUAGUAUUACACACGAGUUUAAGAAUGUAGUUUUCGAUUUUCGGACAAUUUAGGAUGUUGCACACCCUUGGCUGAACUCGAUGUGCCACAUCCUAAAUUGUCAGAAAAUACGAAAACUGUGUUUCAAAAAUAAAGUAUGCAUAUUUCCCCUUUUUCUGUAAACAUACGCGGUACCAUGGAAAUAUGACCAUGUGGGUAUACUAACCCUAUUAAGCGGAACUCAUGCAUUGAGGAAAUUGGUCCAUCAACGGGCAGUAAAUACAGUGACACCGUGUCACAACGUGCUCAUGAAAAUCAGACACCGUCUAUUUUGCCAGCUGGG
rnacentral:lncRNA from 1 species